GUGCUCGCUUUGGCAGCAUAUAUAGUAAAAUUGGAACAAUACGGAGAAGAUUAGCAUGGCCCCUGCGCAAGGAUGACACUCAAAUUUGUGAAGCAUUCUGUAUUAAA
rnacentral:snRNA from 1 species